rnacentral:tRNA from 1 species
GCAGUGGUGGCUCAGUGGUUAGAGCAUCAGGCUAUUGUAGGUUUGAUACCCAGGCCUGGAAUGGUCCUGCUACUGCU